rnacentral:rRNA from 1 species
AGCAGUCGCCGCGGGUAAUACAGAGGGUGCGAGCGUAAAUCGGAUUUACUGGGCGUAAAGCGUGCGUAGGCGGCUUUUUAAGUCGGAUGUGAAAUCCCUGAGCUUAACUUAGGAAUUGCAUUCGAUACUGGGAAGCUAGAGUAUGGGAGAGGAUGGUAGAAUUCCAGGUGUAGCGGUGAAAUGCGUAGAGAUCUGGAGGAAUACCGAUGGCGAAGGCAGCCAUCUGGCCUAAUACUGACGCUGAGGUACGAAAGCAUGGGGAGCAAACAGGAUUAGAUACCCCUGUAGUCCCUGUCUCUUAUU